GGGUGCGAUCAUACCAGCACUAAUGCACCGGAUCCCAUCAGAACUCCGCAGCUAAGCGUGUUUGGGCGAGAGUAGUACUAGUAUGGGUGACCUCCUGGGAAGUCCUCGUGUUGCACCCC
rnacentral:rRNA from 1 species